GAUGAACGCUAGCGGCAGGCUUAAUACAUGCAAGUCGUGGGGCAGCAUGAGUAGCAAUACUUGAUGGCGACCGGCAAACGGGUGCGGAACACGUACACAACCUUCCGAUAAGUGGGGAAUAGCCCAGAGAAACUUGGAUUAAUACCCCGUAACAUAUAGAGUAGGCAUCUUCUUUAUAUUAUAGCUUCGGCGCUUAUUGAUGGGUGUGCGUCUGAUUAGGUAGUGGGCGGGGUAACGGCCCACCAAGCCUACGAUCAGUAGCUGAUGUGAGAGCAUGAUCAGCCACACGGGCACUGAGACACGGGCCCGACUCCUACGGGAGGCAGCAGUAAGGAAUAUUGGACAAUGGGCGAAAGCCUGAUCCAGCCAUGCCGCGUGAAGGAUUAAGGUCCUCUGGAUUGUAAACUUCUUUUAUUUGGGACGAAAAAAGGGAAUUCUUUCCCACUUGACGGUACCAAGUGAAUAAGCACCGGCUAACUCCGUGCCAGCCGCCGCAGUAA
rnacentral:rRNA from 1 species